rnacentral:sRNA from 1 species
CUUUUUAGUUUUCUAUUUCUUUAAGAAGAAAAAAGUUAAUUAUUUUCUUACACGUGUCAACAUCUGAUCGAUAGACUUGACACAUGGCAUAAUCCUAUGAGUUAAUAAUUUUCAAAACCAUACUUUAUAUAAUAAGAUAUG